CCUUGGUUCCAAGUCUUCGCUAUUGUGUUCACUGUGUUUUAAGAGUCAUCUGCCUCUACAGUUUCUCCAUUUCUUUUUUGAUAUUGCUCAAAUAUUGACAACUGCAUAGGAAGAUAUGUACACUCCUAUAUGUAGAUGAUUUUUAAAAAGCAUUAUCUCAAAAGUUACUUUAUUUUGCUAACUACUAUUAGAAUGAAUGAGCAUAUUUCAAUUUUUCUUACACAAAAAUCAUUUGGCAGAUGUCCUCUCUUAACUAAUACAACAAACUAUUUUUCCCCCUUUACUUAGGCCUGCAUAAUGGAACUGUUAUUUUGACAGGUUUAUGUAAGGGUAAUUAUUGGUAAACUUUUUGCAAAGUGGCUAUAAUUAUUACCUUCCUGUAUUUACCCCCUUUGCAGCUCCUGCCAUCAAUAGAUGGAGUCUGUUUCUUCGCUACUUGAGUCUGCGUGGCCUUGUACCCUGCUUUUACCAAUAGAAUGUGUGGAAGUUGCUGUAGGCCAGUGCUGAACCUGGUCCUCUAGAGCAGGGGUUCCCAACCCCCACACUACAGACUGGUACUGGUCAGUGGCCCAUUAGGAACUGGGCUGCACCGCGGGAGGUGAGCAGCAGGUGAGGAAGCGAGGUUUCAUCUGUAUUUACAGCCACUCCUCAUUGCUUGCAUUAUCGCCUAAGCUCUACCUCCUGUCAGAUUAGUGGUGGCAUUAGAUUCUCACAGGAGUGCAAACCCUAUUGUGAACUGUGCAUGCAAGGAAUCUAGGUUGCACAGUCCUUAUGAGAAUCUAAUGCCUGAUGAUAUGUCACUGUCUCCUAUUACCCCCAGAUGGGACCGUCUAGUUGCAGGAAAAUAAGCUCAUAAUGAUUCUACAUUAUGGUGAGUUGUAUACUUAUUCAUUAUAUAUUACAAUGUAAUAAUAAAAUAAAUAAAGUCUACAAUAAAUGUAUUGUGUUUGAAUCAUUCUAAAACAAUCCCCCCAUCCCAGUCUGUGGAAAAUUUGUCUUCCACGAAACCAGUCCCUGGUACCAAAAAGGUUGGGCAUCACUGCUCUAGAGGGCCUUGCAUGUCUGUGAUUUCUUUCUCAGGAUGAUUAAACUCCUUAAGAACAAGCCUGGCUGAGCCUGCUAGAGAAUGAGAGACCAAGUGGCAAAGUGACAAGAGUGAUACCAACUAAGUCUCCAGAGACUGAGAGCCCGGCCCAGAUGAGUAAAACUAGCUAAGCCACUUACCUGAACGAUGGCUAACCGCCAAUGCAUUAAGAACCCAGCCAAGACGAGAAAACUUGCCUACCUGAUCCCAGUUUAAACUGCUGACCUUAAAUAGCAUGAGCUAAAUAAAUGGCUGUUUCAAAG
rnacentral:lncRNA from 10 species